UACGUAGGGUGCAAGCGUUGUCCGGAAUUAUUGGGCGUAAAGAGCUCGUAGGCGGUCUGUCGCGUCGGCUGUGAAAUCCCGGAGCUCAACUCCGGGUCUGCAGUCGAUACGGGCAGACUGGAGUUCGGCAGGGGAGACUGGAAUUCCUGGUGUAGCGGUGAGAUGCGCAGAUAUCAGGAGGAACACCGGUGGCGAAGGCGGGUCUCUGGGCCGAUACUGACGCUGAGGAGCGAAAGCGUGGGGAGCGAACAGG
rnacentral:rRNA from 1 species